GAUGAAGAACGCAGCGAAAUGCGAUAAGUAAUGUGAAUUGCAGAAUUCAGUGAAUCAUCGAAUCUUUGAACGCACAUUGCGCCCGCCAGUAUUCUGGCGGGCAUGCCUGUUCGAGCGUCAUUACAACCCUCAGGCCCCCGGGCCUGGCGUUGGGGAUCGGCGGAAGCCCCCUGCGGGCACAACGCCGUCCCCCAAAUACAGUGGCGGUCCCGCCGCAGCUUCCAUUGCGUAGUAGCUAACACCUCGCAACUGGAGAGCGGCGCGGCCACGCCGUAAAACACCCAACUUCUGAAUGUUGACCUCGAAUCAGGUAGGAAUACCCGCUGAACUUAAGCAUAUCAAUAAGCGGACGA
rnacentral:misc_RNA from 1 species